rnacentral:rRNA from 1 species
AUUGAACGCUGGCGGCAGGCCUAACACAUGCAAGUCGAACGAGUGGCGGACGGGUGAGUAAUGUCUGGGAAACUGCCUGAUGGAGGGGGAUAACUACUGGAAACGGUAGCUAAUACCGCAUACCAUCGGAUGUGCCCAGAUGGGAUUAGCUAGUAGGUGGGGUAAUGGCUCACCUAGGCGACGAUCCCUAGCUGGUCUGAGAGGAUGACCAGCAGCACUGGAACUGAGACACGGUCCAUAGUCCUGCGGUAGGCAGCAGUGGGGUAUAUUGCACAAUGGGCGCAAACCUGAUGCAGCCAUGGCACGUGUAUGAAGAAGGCCCUCGGGUUGUAAAGUACUUUCAGCGGGGAUGCGUUACUCGCAGAAGAAGCACCGGCUAACUCCGUGCCAGCAGCCGCGGUAAUAC